AAACCGCCUCGUCCUCCCCUCUCCUCCUCCGCCCGCCCCACAAACCCCAAACCCCAGUCAGUCCGCGAGUACGUACGCUCUCGGCUCUCCUCCCCCCUCCCACUGCCUGCCGCCGCUCGCUCGCCCGCCGCGCGCGCACGCCCAUUUCGUGCGCGCCCCACCUAACCUGACGACCCCCGCAGGAGCACGACGCCGCCCGCCACCGCCGCUGGCAUUGCGAGGUGCGCGCGCCGAUCGUCCUCCCCUCCUCCUCUCCCCGGCCGGCCCCGCCCGCUGCGCUCUCCCUCCCUCUCGCCUGCUGCUCACGCCCCUCCCUCGUCCCUGCAGGAGCGCGAACUGAAGGCGCGGCACCGUCUCCCUCCGCCCGCCCGCCUCCUUGGUUCCGGCUCCAGCGCACGGAGAAGUGGCUCGUCGGCUCCACGGCGGUGGCGGCCACCGCUCGCGCCGCUCUGGCGCGCCCCUGCUCCCGCUUCUCCACAUCUGGCAUCGUCGCGGUACGAACCUACCACGCCGCUGCACGCGCGUGUCUUUGUUUCAUUCUCGCCAUCUCGGAUUAAUCGCAACAGCGGCAUGGUUUCAGUAGACCGAUUACUGUCAAAUAUCGUUGUGGUAGAAGGCCCACUUCGUUUGCCGAUUUACACGGGAUUUUUUUUCCAGUUGCUCGCUAGUACUCUGUUUGCGAAUUGUCGGCAACUUUGUGUGGAACCAUCUGCCAUUUCUUCGAUUUUCCUCCCCUUGUUGCCAAUUGUCCGCCCAGGGAGAUCUUUCCAUGGCAAAGAGAGGGAUCCCUCCUCGUCCUCCUCAAAAUCCCCGCCGGGCCUCGGUUUUUUCCUCAUUGUACCAAAUGAAGCCUCGAGCAAGUGUGUUUGCUGCGGCGGGGAUCUCUAAUCUGUGGGGUUUGCAACUUCACGGGGGCGGAGGAGGAUCACUGCGGUUUCUCCGUCACGGGUCUUCCUAACUAUAGCAUUCGGUGAUAGCUUUGUUCUUGAACAAUUAUUCCACAUGCACAGCUGUACUCGCUGCAGAGCAUUUUCCUUCCUUUUUGGGUGGUUUUUAUGGAGCUUUUCCCUGUUCGUCUCCCAGAAUCUUACACUGUAUUUGUACUUCUUCCUCAGAAAUUUUACGGAGCUUUUCUCAGUGUUCUCGGUUUCAAUUCCGUUCAUUUUGCUCGCCUUUUUGAUGAAAAAAAGUGCUCAGUAAUUUCUGUUCGUGCAAAUUCCGCCCCCGGUUUCGCCGUCGUGGCGUCAGUUCAAUUAAACCCAACCCUUCGUGCUGUUUCGGGCUACGCACGUACUUAGUACUCUUUUGCAGCAGCCGUAGACUCCCGGCCCACGGUUGGCCGCACUUUGUUUUGUGCGCACUCUUGAAUGCAGUAGAACUACCAUUAAUAUGCUGCUAAUCGUACUUGGUUUGUCAGGCCUUUCAUACGGCCCCAUAAACAAAUCGCUCCCAAAUGAUGGCCCAAAUCAUUGGGGAAAACAUUCUACUCUGGUUCUUCAUGUUUUGCUUAGAUUAGUUGUAUAGCGUGGCGAGUAAGGAUCUGCAUCUUUACCACGCAAAAAAGAAAAAGAUCUGACAUCUUUAGGCAGAAAUGCUGAUAGUGGCAGUAACCCCCUUUGCAAUUACCCCGCAAAUUUGUAUUAUUGUCACCCAUUGCCUCUCUGAAUUGGUCUGGUCCAGUCCAAUCGCUGUUCUGGCUCCCAGGUUUAAAGAACCAGGAUCAGAGAGCCCGGUCAGAGGCUCGUGUGAUGGGGAGGGGGGCAUGAUUUGACGUGGUUGUUCAUUUAAUCCGCAGCGGUGGAGGUGUAUGCAGCACGAUUCUUCUGUGCUCAGCUUGCGUAUUGUGUCGCCACUUGCUGAAUCUCGUGGGGAAGGGGAUGUGUGUGGGAGUGGUCUUUCUUGCUUUUCCUUUCCUCCCUGUGCGGCUGUGUUCGGUUACGCUCAGCCUGGCGAGGUUUUGGGUCCAAUCCACGCGGGUCCGCAGGGAUUACCCCCGCCGGGGAAUAAACCCGGCUCAUCCAUUUUUUCUCGUUCGGUUAAGCCCCGCGUUGUAUUUCCCCGGCCCAAACCUCUCCAAACCCACGCGGAAAAAAUCAUCCACUAGCACCCCGUGGAAGGAAUCCCCGAGCGAGGCGCUCGUCUCAUCUCUCCCGAGCGACAGAAGCGGCGGCAAGGAGGCGGCGGGGACGAGUGGACGGCGGCGGCGCAACCUACCCGGAGGAGGAGGAUGCCCUCCUGCUUCGACGACCUGCCACGAAGCCCGCCGGAACCCUAGCCUCUGAUUGUCCCAUCUCCCCGGCCGCCCCCUUGCCGCGGCCGGAACCCGCUAGCUCCGGAGAAGUGGUUGCUGCAGGCGAGGAGAUCUCUGGUUAGUUCUCUCUCUCCCUCCCCCCUCCCACUGCCUUUCUCUCUAGCAGCACUGAUUUGCCCCCUCCAUGAAAACCUAGCCAAAUAUUGAUCUGUCUUCCCGAAUGUGGUCGUCAAGGUCGAGACUUUUCUUGGGGUUUCCUAGGAACUAGCAUCAAUUUUUAUUUCAUGAUUUGUCCUCCCGAAUGUGGUCGUCAAGAUCUGUCUUCCCUUUGUUAGUAAUUUGUACUGGAGUCAGCAGUACAAUUUUGUGUUAGUAAAUGGAAUCAGCAGGUUACUCUGUACUGGAGUCAGCAGUACAAUUUGGUGUUAGUAAUUUGGAUUUGUUUUAUUUUUCUCGACAUAAUUAUUGUAGUAGUAGUAUAAUUGUUAGUCUAUCUCUUGGUAUAAAGAAGGACUAUCUAAUCUGGAGGAACAACAAUGCGUGUUGUUUUUGUUGCUGGCUGCUGAUAGUACAGUAUGAUGUUCGUCCCAAAAUGUAGUAUGUGAACCUAAUCUCUGUUAGCAGCAGGGCACAUACUUCCAAACAUUUUUUAUGUCCAAACACAAGAUACUUCUGGUAUGAUCAUUGGUAGAUUAUAUAAAUUGUUCUCUUCAUGGUGUGUGAUCAUCAUCUGUUCUUCAUUGGUACACAUUGCAGUUGUCCUUUUUUCUAGUGUUGUCCUUUUUGUUAGAUGAUGUUCCGAUGCCAGAUAUUUUGAUGAUGCCAGAUAUAGGCUAGCUUCGUCACCUCACAGCUGCAGCAAGACCCUGAAUUGGGCAGCAUCGUGAAGGACAAGGUAGAUUAAUCCUCUUGUUUUAAUCUUCUCCUUUUUCAUGUACUGUUGGUUAUUAUUGCUUGGUCGAUAGAUCUGUGUUACAAACUGUUUUUUUGGUAAGCUGAGAGCUAUGUUAAUAUCUUACAUUACUAGACAUUGUAGUUGUUAAAGAAUUUUAGCUCUUACUGUAGUUGUUUUUUUGGUAAACUGUUUGUUUGUACAACUUGCACUCUUACUGUUUAGGUGUACAACUAAACUCCUUGCAAGCCAUUUAGUCCAUGUUGUUGCUGCUGCUGCUGCAGUAAAGACAUUAUUUUCUGCUGAAAUGGAUAGUUGUUUUUAAUAUAUUUAUGAAGUUCUUUUGCAAACUAUUGGACUGACUGGUUAUAGGAAUACUUUGCUUGAAUAAUACAACCUUUUUUCAAAUGAUUGCUUGAUGUAUCGACACAGGUUGACAAGUGCUUGUGUUGUAGCUAGUCUAGGCUGAUUUUCUUGUGGUUGUAGUCAUUGUCUAUUUCUAAACUGCUAUGAUGCCUUGUCCCUAGAAAAUAAAAAGGGAUGCUUUUAACAUAGAUCAGAGGAUAUAGAUUGAUUUACCUACUGUUUAUGUAUGUUUUUCUCAUUGUUUCCAUUCCUGGAAAUAAAACUGCCAAGUAUUUCACUCUCAAACUAAUUUUGGUUUUGAAUGGUUUCAAAAAGCAGGAGUUCUACAUAAGAAUGCUCCAGAAGAAGGACGAAGGUGCCGCGACUUGGAUCUAUUUGUGUGUGCUUUUCAGUGGAAGGCUUCAUAUCUAUUCGCUGGGUUUUGGGAGGAACUGAUAAUUAAGCUCUUGUGGUCUAUUCAACAUAUUAUAUAUUAUGUAUGCUCCAAAUUGCUAUUAUUUUUGUUAGUAUUUGUGCCCUGUUCAAAUCUUAGAAUUGUUGUUAUUGUUAGGAUAAUAAGUGUUUUAAACCUUCAGUGCUAUUGUCACUUCAGUCUGCAUCUGUGUCAUUACUACAUGAGAAUUGUUGUUAUCUAUAUGUACCACCUCUGUUUGCAUCUCUGUCAAUACUGUUGUCCCUGUGGUCCAGCGCCCUUGGGGACUAACCGAAUGCAUGAGAGUGGUGUGGAUUGCAUACUGGCAGGGAUUUGGUCCCCAAGUGGUUUUGGUGUCAAGCGGGGAUCAUCCAAUCCUCUAGAGGAUUAAAUCCACUAGAGGAUUACUUCCGCCUCAACCGAACAAGGCCUGCAGGAGGUGGCAUCCCUGCCUGCCUGCAUUUAUGAUGCUGCAUGCUUGGUUUUGUGCCAUCUGAUCUGAUGUAAAGCUGCACCCCUACCAUGCAGCAUUACUACCAUCCUUUCUCGUUAUAGGAAAACAGUCGAGUGGCUUGUGAAUUUUGUGUUGGAUGGAUGUUUCUG
rnacentral:lncRNA from 1 species